CCUACGGGGGGCAGCAGUGAGGAAUAUUGGUCAAUGGGCGCGAGCCUGAACCAGCCAAGUCGCGUGAGGGAAGACGGUCCUAUGGAUUGUAAACCUCUUUUGUCGGGGAGCAAAAGACGCCACGCGUGGCGUUCCGAGAGUACCCGAAGAAAAAGCAUCGGCCAACUCUGUGCCAGCAGCCGCGGUAAUACGGAGGAUGCGAGCGUUAUUCGGAUUUAUUGGGUUUAAAGGGUGCGCAGGCGGAAGAUCAAGUUAGCGGUAAAAUUGUGGGGCUCAACCUCUUCGAGCCGUUGAAACUGGUGUUCUUGAGUGGGCGAGAAGUAUGCGGAAUGCGUGGUGUAGCGGUGAAAUGCAUAGAUAUCACGCAGAACUCCGAUUGCGAAGGCAGCAUACCGGCGCUCAACUGACGCUCAUGCACGAAAGUGUGGGUAUCGAACAGGAUUAGAUACCCCAGUAGUC
rnacentral:rRNA from 1 species